rnacentral:lncRNA from 1 species
AGAUACCGAGUCAUUUGUCCCAGAGAGUUUCACGCAAUUAAUAGUUUGUGGAUCGCACCCCUGUGGUGUCAUUUAACAUGUUUUUCUGUCCCUGGUAUUUCCUGUAAGUUGGAAAUUAGAUUUAGGGGCUUGACUGGUCUUGCUUGGACCUUCCUUUCCUCCUUCCUUCCAUCCUUCCAUCCUUCCAUCCUUCCAUCCUUCCUUCCUUCUUCCUUCCUUCCUUCCUUCCUUCCUUCUUCCUUCCUUCCUUCCUCCCUCCCUCCCUCCCUUCCUCCCUUCCUCCCUCCCUCCUUCCUCCUUCCUUCCUCCUUCCUUCCUUCCUUCCUUCUUCCUUCCUCCCUUCCUUCCUCCCUUCCUUCCUCCCUUCCUUCCUCCCUUCCCCCUCCUUCCUUCCUCCCUUCCUUCCUCCCUUCCUUCCUCCCUUCCUUCCUCCCUUCCUUCCUCCCUUCCUUCCCUUCCUUCCUCCUCCCUUCCUCCUCCUUCCUUCCUUCCUUCCUUCCUUCCUUCCUUCCUUCCUCCUCCCUCCCUCCCUUCCUCCCUCCCUCCCUCCCUCCCUCCUCCUUCCUUCCUCCCUUCCUUCCUCCCUUCCUUCCUCCCUUCCUUCCUCCCUUCCUUCCUCCCUUCCUUCCCUUCCUUCCUCCUCCCUUCCUCCUCCUUCCUUCCUUCCUUCCUUCCUUCCUUCCUUCCUUCCUCCUCCCUCCCUCCCUUCCUCCCUCCCUCCCUCCCUCCCUCCUCCUUCCUCCCUUCCUCCUCCCUCCCUUCCUCCUCCUUCCUCCCUUCCUCCUCCCUUCCCUCCCUCCCUCCUUCCUCCUUCUUCCUCCCUUCCUUCCUCCCGUCCUUCCUCCCUCCCUCCCUUCCCUCCCUCCCUUCCCUCCCUCCUUCCUUCCUUCCUUCCUUCCUUCCUUCCUUCCUUCCUUCCUUCCCUCCCUCCCUCCCUCCUCCCUCCCUUCCUCCUUCCUUCCUUCCUUCUUCCUUCCUUCCGUCCUUCCUUCCUUCCUUCCUUCCUUCCCUGUAUAUAUCAUAGGUAGUUUGAAAUGUGUAUAUUUCACUAUAUUUCACUCCACUAUAACCUCCUAG